rnacentral:rRNA from 1 species
UUUGUUCAUUUUAUUGAAUGAAUACCGGUUAAUCUUGUGCCAGCAGCAGCGGUAAAGCAAGUGGUGUGAACGUUCUAUUGGUUGAUUAGGUGUAAAGAGUGAAAUGAAUGAUGAAUGUUCAAAUUUAUUAUCAGUAUAAAUUUAGGAGAUAUUUAAUUCUAGAUUUGAUGUGCUGUAGGAAUGUUAAUUGUAAUAGUGAAAUGUAUAUAUAAUUGGUAUAAAAUUUAUUUGAUAUUGGUAGCUUGAUUUAGUAGAUAUUCUAUUCACAAAAGCUUGAGGAGUGACUGGGAUUAGGGACCCCAUUAAUUCAAGUGAUAAAUUAUGGCUUAUUGUAGAUUGGAUCUAUUUUUAACAAAUUAAGGUUCUUAACCUAAGGAGUACGCUUUCACUUGUGAAACUUAAAUGUUCUGGUGGUGGUUUAGAACAAUAGUGGAAUAGAUGAUUUAAUUCGAUAUUAUGCGA